rnacentral:rRNA from 1 species
UACGUAGGUGGCAAGCGUUGUCCGGAUUUACUGGGCGUAAAGGAUGCGUAGGCGGACUUUUAAGUGAGAUGUGAAAUCCCUAAGCUUAACUUAGGUGCUGCAUUUCAAACUGGAAGUCUAGAGUGCGGGAGAGGAGAGUGGAAUUCCUAGUGUAGCGGUGAAAUGCGUAGAGAUUAGGAAGAACACCAGUGGCGAAGGCGACUCUCUGGACCGUAACUGACGCUGAGGCAUGAAAGCGUGGGUAGCAAACAGG